AUACGUAGGGGGCUAGCGUUGUCCGGAUUUACUGGGCGUAAAGGGAGCGCAGGUGGCUAAGUUCGUCGAUGGUGCAAGCUCCAGGCUUAACCUGGAGAGGUCUGUCGAUACUGCUUGGCUUGAGGACGGUAGAGGAGCACGGAAUUCCUGGUGUAGUGGUGAAAUGCGUAGAUAUCAGGAGGAACACCGGUGGCGAAGGCGACGCUCUGGGCUAUUUCUGACGCUGAGGUGCGAAAGCUAGGGGAGCAAACGGGAUUAGAAACCCCGGUAGUCC
rnacentral:rRNA from 1 species